GACAGAGGGUGCAAACGUUGUCCGGAAUUAUUGGGCGUAAAGCGCGUGUAGGCGGCCAGAAAAGUCCGCUGUGAAAACUCGAGGCUCAACUUCGAGCUGUCGGUGGAAACUUUCUGGCUAGAGUUCGGUAGGGGAGACUGGAAUUCCAGGUGUAGCGGUGAAAUGCGUAGAUAUCUGGAGGAACACCGGUGGCGAAGGCGGCAUCCUGGACCGAUAUUGACGCUGAUGCGCGAAAGCCAGGGGAGCAAACGGG
rnacentral:rRNA from 1 species